rnacentral:lncRNA from 1 species
GUAGCUGGAUACAGAUUGGGUCCAGCAUGUGCGUAACCCGCAAAAAUAUAUCAGCAGCGGAUACUACAAAAAUGUUUUGAAUUUGCAACGAAUUGUCCUGAUGAUCCUCAGGUGGUGGGGAUGGCAGAUGUCCUCCUUAAGUUGCUAGCCCAUGUUUCAAGACCAUGAAUUAUACACAUUCCUUCCUUUUCAGGAUCUGCAAAGUCAAGAACAUGUGUAUUAGUUAAAUCGGUUUGAUACGUCGUGCAACGUGCAUUCCACGAGUAUAUCUGUAUCACACAACAGCAUAUGCAAACUAAGGAAACUAAACAGAAUUCUAAGAUGGAGUUCUUUUUGUUCACUAGCCGUGAUGCACAUGAAUAUGUAUAUUCAAGUAAUAUGGUGAAAACUGAAGAAAAAAGAAAGGCAACAAAGCGGCUGCAACUAAAAUCAUGUUCAUUUAAGUACCUCUUGAAGAUUUCGAAGCAGCCUUUCUUCGAAAUCGAUAAGUUCAGUCCCGGCAACGUUGCAUCUUCUCGGUUGAGGUGUUUGAGUUGACUCUGCUGGCAACACGUCCGAUUCUUCAAUAAGAGAAACAUUUAACGGGACAAGGAAAACAUUGUAGACAGAAUGGUUCUC